GCCGGCGACGCCUAUUGGAUGGGCGCCCGCCUUCUAAGCGGUCCUGGGUAGGUUCGAGUCCUUCCGCCGGCGCCA
rnacentral:tRNA from 1 species